AUUAUACAAGGAAACCCACGAGUACUGUCCCUAAUUUGGAAGGCACUCUUGUCUACAUAUAUUACAAGCUCAAACAGAACAAGGUGUGCUCCUAAAAAUGCUGCUGCCGUGAUCUAAGAUGAGGACCUGAUUAGCAUAUUGCAUAUAUUGUUAAAGCGAUUGUAAUUAUUUUUCAUCAAAAGAAAAUGCCGGUCACCAUUGUUACAUAUGUCGCCUAUUUAGUCGCCUGCGUUUUGGUUAUCUUUUCAGAUAGAGUGCUACAGGAGGCGCGAUUUACCCCUGGCUCGUUGGCUAUUCAUGGUUCAAGAUGCUUGGAAGGUCAUCUUGAGUCGAAUCGCCUAAAAGCCCAU